GAUGAACGCUGGCGGCGUGCCUAAUACAUGCAAGUCGAGCGAACAGACGAGGAGCUUGCUCCUCUGACGUUAGCGGCGGACGGGUGAGUAACACGUGGAUAACCUACCUAUAAGACUGGGAUAACUUCGGGAAACCGGAGCUAAUACCGGAUAAUAUAUUGAACCGCAUGGUUCAAUAGUGAAAGACGGUUUUGCUGUCACUUACAGAUGGAUCCGCGCCGCAUUAGCUAGUUGGUAAGGUAACGGCUUACCAAGGCAACGAUGCGUAGCCGACCUGAGAGGGUGAUCGGCCACACUGGAACUGAGACACGGUCCAGACUCCUACGGGAGGCAGCAGUAGGGAAUCUUCCGCAAUGGGCGAAGGCCUGACGGAGCAACGCCGCGUGAGUGAUGAAGGUCUUCGGAUCGUAAAACUCUGUUAUUAGGGAAGAACAAAUGUGUAAGUAACUAUGCACGUCUUGACGGUACCUAAUCAGAAAGCCACGGCUAACUACGUG
rnacentral:rRNA from 1 species